GGCAAAACUAGAAAGAGGCCCCAAUAUAGCAGGUGAUUAUGCAAGGUGUCCAGUAUUCUCCAGACACUUUCUCUCAGGAUAAGGAAAGGGGACAGGAAGCUUAUGGGAAAGUUCUAGAAAAGGCAUCUUUUGCACUGUGCUGAGGCAACAGGCAGGAAUGGGGUAGCAAUCUCCAAAAACUAGGACUUCUUUCUGAGGUCUUUGACCCCAAGUGCUCCAUAGUCCAAAGCAGCUUCUCCUUCCUCCUCUCCACCCAAAGCUAUGGCGACUCCCUUGUCUGAUGCAGAUCAGUGCUGGAUGCUGUGGGGAAGAGAGUACUGGGCUGACAGUCAGUGGAUGUGGAUUUUGUUUCCCAGUUCCAUCGCUGAUUUGCAGUCAAUACCCAGAGCACCACCACCAGGAGGCCUGGAAGCAACUCACUGUCCCACUUGAUGUGGCCUGUGGACCACCAGAAAUUUCAGAGCGUCACAGAGAUGUGUGGUUCGAUCCUGAGCAGACAUGGAUGGUCACAAAGGUGAAUUCACUUGCUCAAGAUCCAACACACACAAAAUGGAGGUGGUUCAAACCCAGGUGUGUCUGACUGCAGAGCCUGUGUUCUUCCCAGUAGAGAUGUGGAUGCAGCACAAAUGGUAGAAAGGACCUGAGACUUAGUCAGAAGACCUCAGUUCACCCAAGGUAUCUGCUAUGCCCAAGGCCUCUGCUCAGUGCUGAGGAAACAAGCAUGGACAAGAUGUGGCCUCCACCCUGAGGAGCUCCUAAAUCUAGGACAGAGUAAAUCUGUUAGAAAUGUCUUCUCUGCACAUAAUUUAAGCUCUACCAACUGUUAACUUCUUUUCAUUUAUCCAAGUUUUGCCAGGUACCACACCAAUAAAAAAAGACUCAGUCCCUCUUCCUUCAGA
rnacentral:lncRNA from 1 species